rnacentral:rRNA from 1 species
GAUGAACGCUGGCGGCGUGCUUAACACAUGCAAGUCGAACGCUGAAGCCCCAGCUUGCUGGGGUGGAUGAGUGGCGAACGGGUGAGUAACACGUGAGUAACCUUCCCUUGACUCUGGGAUAAGCCUGGGAAAUCGGGUCUAAUACCGGAUGCGACCCUCUACCGCAUGGUGGGGGGUGGAAAGAUUUAUCGGUCUUGGAUGGACUCGCGGCCUAUCAGCUUGUUGGUGGGGUAAUGGCCCACCAAGGCGACGACGGGUAGCCGGCCUGAGAGGGUGACCGGCCACACUGGGACUGAGACACGGCCCAGACUCCUACGGGAGGCAGCAGUGGGGAAUAUUGCACAAUGGGCGCAAGCCUGAUGCAGCGACGCCGCGUGAGGGAUGACGGCCUUCGGGUUGUAAACCUCUUUCAGUAGGGAAGAAGCGAAAGUGACGGUACCUGCAGAAGAAGCGCCGGCUAACUAC